rnacentral:rRNA from 1 species
UUCCAGACUCCUACGGGAGGCAGCAGUGGGGAAUAUUGCACAAUGGGGGAAACCCUGAUGCAGCGACGCCGCGUGAGUGAAGAAGUAUUUCGGUAUGUAAAGCUCUCUCAGCAGGGAAGAAAAUGACGGUACUUGACUAAGAAGCCCCGGCUAACUACGUGCCAGCAGCCGCGGUAAUACGUAGGGGGCAAGCGUUAUCCGGAUUUACUGGGUGUAAAGGGAGCGUAGACGGCAUGGCAAGUCAGAUGUGAAAGCCCGGGGCUCAACCCCGGGACUGCAUUUGAAACUGUCAGGCUGGAGUGCAGGAGAGGUAAGUGGAAUUCCUAGUGUAGCGGUGAAAUGCGUAGAUAUUAGGAGGAACACCAGUGGCGAAGGCGGCCUGCUGGACGAUGACUGACGUUGAGGCUCGAAAGCGUGGGGAGCAAACAGGAUUAGAUACCCCCGUAGAC